UACGUAGGGUGCAAGCGUUAAUCGGAAUUACUGGGCGUAAAGCGUGCGCAGGCGGUUUUGUAAGCCAGAUGUGAAAUCCCCGGGCUUAACCUGGGAAUGGCAUUUGGGACUGCAAGGCUAGAGUACGGCAGAGGAGACUAGAAUUCCUGGUGUAGCAGUGAAAUGCGUAGAUAUCAGGAGGAAUACCGAUGGCGAAGGCAGGUCUCUGGGUCGAUACUGACGCUCAUGCACGAAAGCGUGGGGAGCAAACAGG
rnacentral:rRNA from 1 species